rnacentral:rRNA from 1 species
UACGAAGGGGGCUAGCAUUGCUCGGAAUCACUGGGCGUAAAGCGCACGUAGGCGGAUCGUUAAGUCGGGGGUGAAAUCCUGGAGCUCAACUCCAGAACUGCCUUUGAUACUGGCGAUCUUGAGUCCGGGAGAGGUGAGUGGAACUCCGAGUGUAGAGGUGAAAUUCGUAGAUAUUCGGAAGAACACCAGUGGCGAAGGCGGCUCACUGGCCCGGUACUGACGCUGAGGUGCGAAAAGCGUGGGGAGCAAACAGGG